UGAGGAAUCUUGCGCAAUGGGGGAAACCCUGACGCAGCCAUGCCGCGUGAGUGAAGAAGGCCUUCGGGUUGUAAAGCUCUUUCGAUAGUGACGAUGAUGACUGUAACUAUAGAAGAAGCCCCGGCUAACUUCGUGCCAGCAGCCGCGGUAAUACGAAGGGGGCUAGCGUUGUUCGGAUUUACUGGGCGUAAAGCGUAUGUAGGCGGCAUAUCAAGUCAGAGGUGAAAUCCCGGGGCUCAACCUCGGAACUGCCUUUGAUACUGAUACGCUAGAGUGUGAUAGAGGAUAGUGGAAUUUCCAGUGUAGGGGUAGAAUCCGUAGAUAUUGGAGGAACACCAGUGGCGAAGGCGGCCACCUGGCCGGCAACUGACGCUGAGGUGCGAAAGCGCGGGGAUCAAACA
rnacentral:rRNA from 1 species